rnacentral:rRNA from 1 species
GAUGAACGCUGGCGGCGUGCCUAAUACAUGCAAGUCGAGCGUACAGACGAGGAGCUUGCUCCUCUGACGUUAGCGGCGGACGGGUGAGUAACACGUGGAUAACCUACCUAUAAGACUGGGAUAACUUCGGGAAACCGGAGCUAAUACCGGAUAAUAUAUUGAACCGCAUGGUUCAAUAGUGAAAGACGGUUUUGCUGUCACUUAUAGAUGGAUCCGCGCCGCAUUAGCUAGUUGGUAAGGUAACGGCUUACCAAGGCGACGAUGCGUAGCCGACCUGAGAGGGUGAUCGGCCACACUGGAACUGAGACACGGUCCAGACUCCUACGGGAGGCAGCAGUAGGGAAUCUUCCGCAAAGGGCGAAAGCCUGACGGAGCAACGCCGCGUGAGUGAUGAAGGUCUUCGGAUCGUAAAACUCUGUUAUUAGGGAAGAACAAAUGUGUAAGUAACUAUGCACGUCUUGACGGUACCUAAUCAGAAAGCCACGGCUAACUACGUG